rnacentral:rRNA from 1 species
CGUAAGAAUUUAAUUUUGGUUCUGAUUGAACGUUUUUCAGUAGUUUUAAGACAUGCAAAUCGUUAUUAAUAAAAAAUAUUAUUAUAUAAAUUCCAAAUAAAUAAUAUUAAUAAAAAAUAAGGUGUAAGGGUGAGUAUAGGUAGAUUAGAUACCUUAUAGACUCCUUAAAUAGGAGAUUAUUACUUCUUGUUCCACAAAGGAUCCGGUAUGCAAAGUUUUGCACAACUCGAAAAAAAGAUACUUAAAGUAAUAUAAAAUUAAGAAAAGAAUUAUUUUUGCCUAACAAACAAAAUAAAAAGCUAAUCUUUUUAAAAAAUCAAUAAAUUAACAGUAGUUAACUAUUAAAUUUUAAUAAUUUUAAAUUAGUGCCUACUAGCUAGGGCUUUCUUAGAUUUUUCUAAUAAAAGUUUAAGAAGUAGGCUAAAUUUUAAGGACAAGUAAUAUAAUAAUUUAGCAAUUAUAAAAAGGAAAUUUUCCGCUAUAAGAUUCGAUCUAUUCUGUUUAAAGGUAGUUGGUAGAGUAAAAGCCUAUCCAAGCCUACGAUCAGUAGCUAAGUUUGAAAGAACAAAUAGCCACAUAGGUAAUGAAAUUUUCCUAGUAGUGUUUUUACUACCAGCAGUCAAGAAUCUUAGUCAAUGCUCGUAAGAGUGAACUAGCUAACUGAAAUCGCAUAUUUUGUUAAUGGAAAUGUGAUAAAGUAAGGGAAGAAGUCUGACGUUACCUUACUAUAAGUGUUGUCCAAAGCUGGUGCCAGAAGACUCGGUAAGGCCAGAGACGCAAACGUUAAUCGCAAUAACCAGGCGUAAAGGGUUCGUAGGCAGCUUAAAAAUUUUAAAAUUAUAUAGCUAUAUGAUUAAUAUAUAUUAAUUAUAAUAAUUUUAAAAAUAAUACAAGAUAUAAUCAAAUAGAGGAUAAGUUGAACAAUACUUAGAGUAAGGGUUAAAUCUAUAGAUACUAAGUAGAAUACUCAAGGUGAAAACUUUUUAUCCAUUAUUGAUGGAAGCUGAGGAACGAAGGUUUGAACAGAAAAUAGGAUGUGCGACUUGAUAAGUUUAAUUAUUGUAUUGUAUUCUCAGAAUACAUUAUCUUUCGUCUGAUAAUAGCCAACCUAGACAUGCAAAAGAUUUGAUUUGAAUUUUAUCUUUCCAGAAAUGGUUUUGUGUGAAGCUCUAGGGUAAAGUUAGUUUAAAAGGUAAUCUACCUUGAACAUUUGAAAUUCAAAUGUUUUAUAACGAAGGCUGAUUUCUAAGGUUAGGGAGACCGAACUUAUGUAGUAAAGCUUAUUAAUUAGGCAACUAAUCGUCCUAGUUAGUUGUAGACGAACAAAUAAUUAAUAUUUCAAAGUAAGAACCUAAGGAAAUCUAUCGUACAUAAUUAGAAACAAGGGAACACCUAUAACCUGCAAUUAAUAUUUUUAAUUCUUAAUUUAAUAAAAUUGCUAGCUUAUUCCGUAAGGGUAAGUACAUGGUUAGAGGUAAUAUGAUUUAGAAAAAAGCGAAUGUCUAUUUGUAAUGAAUAGAAUAAGGCUAUUGCCUAACCUGAAAGGGUGCCUACUUUCUAAAGGUGCUAUAACAAAUAUAAUAAAUAUUUAAUUAAUAAAACAUUUUUACUUAUUUAAUUUUACCUCUGCUACUGCUAGUAACAGAGCCAAUUUAAAAUUUAAAACAUUGCCCCACUUUAGUCUUUAGUCUUUAGUCUUUAGUCUUUAGUCUUUAGUCUUUAGUCUUUAGUCUUUAGUAGGAGUGAGUUAUAAAAAAGAUUCUCUUUUUUUAUUAGGCUACAUAUUCUUUAUUAAUAUAUAUCUUUUUCGGCUGCAGUAGCAAGCGUUUAUAGAAGAAAAGAUUAAACCAACUCCAAUUAAAUUUGAACAUGCAAUUUCAGCUCCUAUGUAUUUUGCAGCUGCUACCCUUAAAUUUUUAAGAUAUGUAAAAAUAAAAAUAAAUAAUGACAACAAUAAACAAUAACAAUAAUAACAAUAAAUUUUUAACUUGAUUUGUUGGAUUCUGCGAUGCUGAGGCCAAUUUUCAAACAACUUUUGUAAAAAGAAUAAAUAAAAAAGGUCAAUUAACUAGCUAUGGUAUAAAAUAUGGUUUCUAUAUCGGUUUACAUGAACAAGAUAAACCUUUAUUAGAAUAUAUCCAACAAAAAUUAAAUAAUAUAGGAAAGAUUUAUGAAUAUCCUUUAAAAAAGGAAUGUCGUUAUUCUAUAUAUACUCAUGAUGAUUUAAAAUGAUUAAUUGAUAAUAUUUUUUCUAAAUACCCUUUAUUUACUAUUCAUCAAGCUACUAGAUAUGAACGAAUUAAUAAAGGUAUAAUUAAUAAAAUUAAUAAAAUAUCUAUUUCCAAUCGUAAAGGACAGGUUGCCGAAGAGAGCUAUGAUGUCCAAGAUCCAAAGUCUUACUUAGGUAUAAGUGAAAUAUUACCUUUAUUAAAUAAUAGAACUGAAUUUGAAAUAGAUAAUUGAAUAAUAGGAUUUUUUAAUGGUGAAGUAUCAUUUACUUAUUUAACUAAAAAAAAUAAAGAAAUUAUACCUAGAAUAAUGUUAGAACAUACAGAUGAGAGAGUUAUAAGUAUGAUUAAAGAUAGAUUAAAAAUAGGUCCCAAAAUAUUAGUUAGAACGAGAGAUACUAGAAAAACGACUUAUAGUUUACAAAUAAGUAGCCAAAAAGAUAUUACUAAUAUUAUUACAUUUUUAGAUAAGUAUAAUAAUCUAAGAGGUAAUAAAUUGAGCCAAUAUGAAGAAUGAAAAGAAAAAUUCAAAUUAAUUUAAAAAGUUAUAUAGAUAAAUAAAGUUAAAGUUUAGUUUAAUUAAUUAAAACACAUAUUAUAUAUAUGAAUUUAUAGUGCUUGAGCCGUAUGCGAUGAAAGUCGCACGUACGGUUCUUAGAGGGGGAAAGUUCGUGAGGACCUACCUAUCUCAAAUCGAUACCCAGUUAUCUCUUACUGUCAACGAUGAAUGGUAGUUGUUAGUUUUAAAACUAGUGACGAUGUUAACGCGUUAACCAUUCCGCCUUGAGAGUACGGUUGCAAAACUGAAACCAAAAAAAUUAGUCGGUCUCGAAGCAAACGAAGUGAAGCAUGUUAUUUAAUACGUAAGUACGCGUAAAAUCUUACCAGUUCUUGUAUAGCCAUUUUUUAAAAUGUGAAGUUAUAAUUAUUUUGGGCAUUACUAAAUAUAAUAACGCCAUAAAAAAUCAAUUUAUAACUCGUCUACAGGUGUUGCAUGGCUGUCGUCAGUCCGUAUUUUAAUAAGUUAGGUUAGCUCCACAAACGGACGAAAUCCCUGUUGUAAAUUUAUACUUUACAAAUUUAUGAUUUUUAAAUAAUUUCAUUUGGGGCUAAGACAAGUCGUUAUGGUCCUUAUGAACUGGGCUAUAGACGUGCCACGAUAACUUUUACAAAGUGAUGCAAAAUUUGACCUUAUUUUCCCUUUUUUUCCUUUAAUAAAAUUGUUGAAGAAAUAAAUUUAAUUUCUCUUCUCUCGCUUGCGCAGUCCUUAAUAAAGUUGUACACCUUUCAAUCAUUUCAAUAAGAACAGACUCAAAAUCUGAUUUGCGAAGCUUUUAUAAAAAUUUUUAACAUUUAUUGUUCUUUUCAUUAUAAUUGAAAGGGUUGCAAAAUAAGUUUAGGUGUCUAGCAGAGGAGGGAAUAAGGUCUUAAGAAAUAGCUAAUCAUUAAAAAAAGUUAUAUUUAAUAAAAUAAUAUUAAACGAAUUGUUGCCUGAAAUUCGGCAACAUGAAGAAGGAAUUUCGAGUAAUCGUUGAUCACAAGCGCAACGGUGAAGGUAAAAAAUUCGUGAUGAACUAACUGUCUGUCGCUGGGAAGAAGCUCGGGUAGGGGGAAACUGCUUUUUAAUUAAUAACUUUUUCUAAAGAAUAGCUUAAAAUUCACUAAUUAAAUUUUUAAGUGUUGUUUUAUUGAUAAAUUUUUAAAUUUUUAAUUGUUUAUCCUUAUUAGUUAUUUGGUUUUAAACCAUUUAACAAUAUUUUAGUAAGAUUAAACAUCUUUGUUAAGCUUAAUUAGUCUUAGUUAACUCAUCUAAGUAACAUCUCAAAAGUCAUAGCAAGGUAGCUGUACUGGAAAGUGCUGCUGUAAUAUAAAUACAAUCU